UACGUAGGUGGCAAGCGUUAUCCGGAAUUAUUGGGCGUAAAGCGCGCGCAGGUGGUUUCUUAAGUCUGAUGUGAAAGCCCACGGCUCAACCGUGGAGGGUCAUUGGAAACUGGGAGACUUGAGUGCAGAAGAGGAAAGUGGAAUUCCAUGUGUAGCGGUGAAAUGCGUAGAGAUAUGGAGGAACACCAGUGCGAAGGCGACUUCGUGUCUGGCUAACUGACACUGAGAGCGAAAGC
rnacentral:rRNA from 1 species